rnacentral:rRNA from 1 species
AGUGAACGCUGGCGGUAGGCCUAACACAUGCAAGUCGAACGGCAGCACAGUAAGAGUUUGCUCUUACGGGUGGCGAGUGGCGGACGGGUGAGGAAUACAUCGGAAUCUACUUUUUCGUGGGGGAUAACGUAGGGAAACUUACGCUAAUACCGCAUACGACCUACGGGUGAAAGCAGGGGAUCUUCGGACCUUGCGCGAUUGAAUGAGCCGAUGUCGGAUUAGCUAGUUGGCGGGGUAAAGGACCACCAAGGCGACGAUCCGUAGCUGGUCUGAGAGGAUGAUCAGCCACACUGGAACUGAGACGCGGUCCAGACUCCUACGGGAGGCAGCAGUGGGGAAUAUUGGACAAUGGGCGCAAGCCUGAUCCAGCCAUACCGCGUGGGUGAAGAAGGCCUUCGGGUUGUAAAGCCCUUUUGUUGGGAAAGAAAAGCAGCAGGUUAAUACCCCGCUGUUCUGACGGUACCCAAAGAAUAAGCACCGGCUAACUUCGUG